rnacentral:lncRNA from 1 species
CCCUGAUGGUGCAGAGACUGUCACGUAAACUGCCUCAGCUUUCUGGGGACUGUUCUGGAGUGCUCACCUACACUAGGCUUGGGGACCAUGUUGGUGCCAUUUCCCCAGACUGGGUACUGACCUCUUCACAGUUCCCGUGGCGCCUGAAGGACUGGAGAGUUUAUGUUCCCAUGUCUCCUCUGGGUGUUGGCCAGAGCUGUGAUCACCAUGACGGGAAUCCUCCUUAUUUGCUCCUUAAGCAAAUAAUCCUUGUGUUUUUGAUUAUGCCCUUAAUCUUUGUCCUGAACUGCUGAUCUUCAGAGGGACCCAGGAGAAGAUGAGUCCAC